UUGAAUAUUUGAAGGAUAUCUGGGUUUCAUACAAUAAGCGGUUUUAAUAGAUUAACUGUUUCCAUGUGCUCCUUUGUUAUGCAGAACAAAUUCUUCUAGUUUUCAUGAAUUUCUUCAAUCAUUUAUACCAUCCAACGAAGUCAGCUGGAAGAGCAGCAUGCAUUCCAAGACCUUCCUAUCAUAUCACACUGAAAUAAAGAUACAUUGUAUGUAUGAAAUUGGGAAGAUUUUGGCUCAAAAAAUAUCACCCGAUAGGUUAAAUUACUACAUCUACAUCAUGCUUAUCUUAAAUAAUUGGACAAGCCCAACUACGAAGAAAACAUGUACUAUCUGUAGCUCUAGUAAAUUUUUCACUCUAACAUGUUUGCUUCAUAAAUUCAAAGAUACCACAUUCAGUUAUUCUCUUCCAUAAUCGAUCUUUUUCUAUUCUUCACUACCUGUCUAAUUCACCUCGAUACAUCUUACUUCCAUCUCAACAAAUCUGUUAUAUAUUAUAAGGACAAGCUUGCAUGAAGACCACCACUAAUCUUACCUUGAUGCACCCAGCAGAAAAGGAGUUUUUUAUCGCAAUUUUAUCAUCGUCUUUUUUAACAAUUCAUCCAACUUCUAGUUAAGAAGUCAAGACAGAUGAGACAAAUCAGGAUCUUGUUGACUUUUCUUUUGAUCAACUCAGCAAUACAAUUUGAUCAAAAAAAAAAGAGGGAAAAGCUCAGUAAUAUAAGUAGUUGGCCUACUCCUGUUUUCCAAUAUACUUCUAAUCCUCUGGCAAUCAAGUCUAAAGUUGUCCUU
rnacentral:lncRNA from 1 species